rnacentral:rRNA from 1 species
UACGUAGGGUCCGAGCGUUGUCCGGAAUUAUUGGGCGUAAAGAGCUCGUAGGCGGUCUGUUGCGUCGGUUGUGAAAACCUGGGGCUCAACUCCAGGCCUGCAAUCGAUACGGGCAGACUAGAGUUCGGUAGGGGAGACUGGAAUUCCUGGUGUAGCGGUGAAAUGCGCAGAUAUCAGGAGGAACACCGGUGGCGAAGGCGGAUCUCUGGGCCUUACCUGACGCUCAGGUGCGAAAGCUAGGGGAGCGAACAGG